rnacentral:rRNA from 1 species
GACGAACGCUGGCGGCGUGCUUAACACAUGCAAGUCGAACGGUGAAGCGCCUUCCUUUUUGGUGGGUGUGGAUGAGUGGCGAACGGGUGAGUAACACGUGAGUAACCUGCCCCCUUCUUCUGGAUAACCGCAUGAAAGUGUGGCUAAUACGGGACAUUCUGGGUCUGUCGCAUGAUGGGUCUGGGAAAGAUAUUGUUUCGGUGGGGGAUGGGCUCGCGGCCUAUCAGCUUGUUGGUGGGGUGAUGGCCUACCAAGGCGGUGACGGGUAGCCGGCCUGAGAGGGUGGACGGUCACACUGGGACUGAGACACGGCCCAGACUCCUACGGGAGGCAGCAGGGGGGAAUAGUGCACAAUGGGCGCAAGCCUGAUGCAGCGACGCCGCGUGAGGGAUGGAGGCCUGCGGGUUGUGAACCUCUUUCGCCAGUGAAGCAGGCCUGCCUCGUUUGUGGGUGGGUUGACGGUAGCUGGAUAAGAAGCGCCGGCUAACUACGUG